AUAAAGUAAAGUCUGUGUAUGUGUAGGAAAAGUAUGUGUAUAUAUAUAAACAUAUUUUCGCAUGAGGCAGCCACUGUUUGCCAUACAUUAGCCUUCUAAGCAAAAUGAGCGCAUGUCAAUAGGAACACGUGUAAUUUGUGCGCACAAGUUGUAUAACUCGUGUGCACAAGUUCUGUAAUUCGUGCGCACAAGAUAGUAAAAAAGUAAAA
rnacentral:lncRNA from 1 species